UCUCCCUGACUGUUUCACAACAUCACACAACUUGCUCCAUUCACACCCAUAAUACGGUCUCUGAGAGCCUGCCUUGUUGCUUCACCUCGCUGACUUUGACCACACAGCCAAGCUUUGGGCUGGAGCGUAUGCUGGUCACACGUACGCAGCGUGCCCUGCUGAGGACAGUCUGUGCCACUGGGGUUUCAGCUGUGACUCCAAAGCAGCCGCUCUGCUAAAUUGGAGAGGUGAAAUAGAUCUGGCUGCUCUUGAAUUUUAAUGUCGUCAUUGAAACAAAUGAGCAUAUACUAAGAGAGGCAAGGGUGUUUCAGCCUCUAAGCUGCCAUACCUCAGGUGGCUGAAGCUGCUCUAUUGGAAGGUAGAGGACAGAAGGGGAAGCUGCCAGAGCUGGAGAACACGGUGAAACUCGUGACUAGAAUAAAGAGACAUGAAGGAAACACUUAUUUCCUGGCUCAAGGAAUCCUCUAUGUAAGUUCAGGAUCUGAGACCUGGCAGAAGAUCAGCUACAGGAAGAGAAGCCUGAAUGAUUUCCUCACUUCAUAGAAGACUGUAUGACAUGGAUGACUUCUUCCUGUGGACACGUUUAGAAGGUAAAACUUUCUAUCAGAGGUCUUGGGUUUGUCUUUUUCUACUACAUGAGUGAGCUUUCAAGAUGAAGAUGUAAAAAGUCAUGCAAGCUGCUGGGCUCCAGUCAAGUACAUUGUCCCUCCUGACCACGGCUGCUCUGAAGGCAGGGUAGCUGUCUGAUGUCUCCUGCUGGCACCUGAGUAUUUCAGGCUGGAAGGAUUAUCCUGUUGCAUUGUAAACAACCACUAAACCUUCUAAAGAGAUUUCUCAUCUGCACUGUUUUGCUGACAUUGCUUGUCUAGACAUUGCUUGGUCCCAUUUCCUGGUGGUUCUCCCUGAGGGGAUUAUUUUGGCUGCCCUAGCUUGAGUGCAUGCAAAGUCAAGGAUUUAUUCCUGUUGAAAAGAAAUCUCUGGUAA